CUUUUGAAAUAUGUUAAAGUAAGAAUUGUUAGUAUAUAGCUCAUUGGUAGAUCACGUGGCUCGCAUUUUCAAGGUUCUUGGUUGGACCCUCGGCUCUGCCUGCCCACUAGCCGAUCCGGCUGUGAAUGGGUAUCGGAGUUUACCAUCACGAGACCAUCCCCCUUUGAAAGGGGAAAAUAAUAUAUAUACAUAUAUAUAUGUAUAUAUAGGUAUAUAUAUAUAUAUGUAUAUAUAGUAUGUGUGUGUUUGUGAAUAAAUAUACGUAUACUUCUACAUUCAUUCUGGUAUUCUCUGUACAUAUAUGAAAUGUAUAUAUAUUAUGUCAAUUUAUUCUUUUAUGAACGAUGUGUCACUACCUGUAAAUGUUGUGGCUUACUCAUAACUAAAUGUGAUAAUAUUUGGAAAGGCAUUUUUGUCCCUUUCGACUUUCAUGGAGACCUAGAGUUCAUGUAGUACUACUUCAAUUAGGAGACAAUCACUGUUAAAACGAACGAAUUUCCGCACUUGUUGUUCUCGCCAUAGACGACUGGAAUCUGGGGAUGCACUGUAGAUAUGAUGAUAAUCAUGAUAUUAGCAAUGUCAUUCAUUAUAGGGGGAGACGGUCCCUGGAUUUAUUUCGCCUAUGAAAUAAAUACUCUGUGCAUUUAUCAUCGCCAAACAUGUACAUCUAAAGUCAUUAGAGAUCCAUCUAUCAGUUAUGAGACCUGUAGUCAGGCAUACAAAUAAUCACUUUUUUUUUAUUUAUGAAUACAUCCCGAUAAGGCAGAAGCCGUUCUCAUAGGUUUAGCGGCAUGUUUCUACUCUUCCAUACAAGUUAUAAUCGCUCAAUGUUACUCAUUAUGUCAUAAGAAAUGUUUGUUAAGAAUCAUACUUUUUAUGGUGGAUGUCGUUGAUCUGUUGUCACGUGUUUACAAAAGAAGCUGUCCCUUUCAUCUCAUGCUGUUUCGCUGGUAUUAAUUGAUAAGGAAGUUGUGUACGGCGAGUCAAGUCAUUGUAAGGGGCCUCCACGCAGACCAAUAAAGGUUAAGUCGAUGUAUAUUUUC